AUGGUGGAUGAUCGCGACCUCGACAUUAUCAAGAAAGUUGGAUUAAUUGGGUUGUAUAGGACCCCAUGUAGAGAGAUUGAUCAUAACUUGAUAACGGCCUUCGUUGAGCGAUGGCGGCCUGAAACCCACACCUUCCAUCUGCCACAUGGUGAGACAACAAUCACAUUACAAGAUGUGGAAGUUCUUUUCGGGAUUCCAAUCGAUGGUGAGGCAAUUGUUGGAACAACUGACUUAACAUGGGAUGCUGAAUGUUAGAGUAUGCUUGGAAUUACUACUAAUGGAAUAGUGCUUAAAGGACAAAGGAUCCUAAUUAACAAGCUACUAGAAAAAGUUGACCAAGGGUUGCCCAAUGAUGCAGCAGAGGUGGUUGUGCAUCAAUAUGCACGGUGUUAUAUUCUAGCACUCCUGGCAGACAUAAUUUUUGUCGACAAGUCUAGUGAUAGGGUGCAUACGAUGUGGUUGCAGAUGUUAAGGGACCUUCGCAAUCCACCUCAGUACAGUUGGGGGAGCGCUUGCCUUGCAUGGUUGUAUAGAGAGUUAUGCAGGGCAACCGACAGAGGUGCCAGUCAGAUUGGUGGGGCCUUGCUACUGGUUCAGUAUUGCGCAUUGUUCAGAUUCCCUUUUUUGUGCCCAAGGAAGGAGGACCUCCCACCAGAUGAUGCAUAUGGCCCACCAUUUCCACCUUCUCCACUGUCCAUUAAGUAAGUCUCUUCCUUGACCGAUUCUUUCUAUUGGAAAUAGAUCCAUAAUUUUAAAUGACAUGACACAUUGUUAGACAUAGAAAAUAAAAUUUUAACCUUGAUAUUCAUCAAAUUUUGAAAAUUAAUAGGAUUUUUAUUUAUUUUUAUAUAUUGUUUUACAACCACUGAGGUCAUAUGUUAUUAUUGAUGUAUAAUACAAGUGUUAUUAAUCACUAAUCAUAUGUUUAGAUAAUCAUUUAUUGGUAUAAACUUAGUGGUAUGUAAUGUUAAAUUUACGAUUGCCCAUCAUUUAUUGUUGUUGAUUACUUCAAAUUCUCAAUUCCAAGUAUUGACUCCCUCUUUCUUAAUUGUAGGACUGUGUGGGUCAUGACCACAAAAGAAUAGCCCCCAAGAAAUCUGUUUGGUCUGGUACUGUCAGCUUUUAGAUUGUAUGAGUCCCAACCAGGUACCCAAAUUGUGUUUCUUCUAUUGUUUAUGACUAUUGUAUUUAUUGCUUGUAAAAUAGCUUAUAGUCGAAAAUAAUGGAACAUUGCAUAAUGUGCUGCCCUUUUAUUUGGCUAUUUCAGGUGUUGUGGGAACCAUAUAAAGAUGAAUUAGCCCACCUACCUCCAUUUUGUGUCGCAGGAAGGGACGUAAGGACAGCGAGGGUGCCACUUGUAUGUUUCUGGCUAGUAGAGAAACAUACACCGGACCGUGUUCUUCGUCAGUUUGGGAUGGCACAAGAAAUCCCGCCAUAUGUUGAUACUGACGAAGCCUUUCAUGCCAUAGACCUGAGGGGGAAGAUAACGGUGAAUUGGAGGCACAAACAUUAUGGCCAUAUCCAAGUAUGGAAUAGUCGAGCACGAUCUCUAUGUCAUGGAGCACGACUAGAAGGUGAUAUGUCGCCUGCUCAUCCAUGCUUCGAUUGGUAUGGUAAGGUGACUUGGAGGUUCGUCGACCAUACUAUCGCUUCACUUCUUAUUAUGGUAAUCACUUUGACCUUUCUUUUCAAUUUUUGUUGCGUAACACCAUUUUUGUGUUAGAUGUACUAAUUGUAUUUAUUUACUUAAAGGUUGCCAGUCACAAGCAGAUGUUGACGUGUUAUACAGUAGGCAGUCCUGAGUACAAGCAUAUUUCAGCUGUACUUAAAUAUUGGAACGCCUUUACCGUAUAACUGCCCAACUUCCCUUGGAAGAGACCAAUGGGGCAAAUCCAGAUGUGCCAGAAGAUACUGGACGACCAAGCACGAGCUCAACUUGUGCCAGCCAUAGCCAUGGUCAGCGUGCUGCACCCUAUCAGGUUGUCAGUAGGCCGGAUCCCCCUCCACCCCCACAUGCAUCUCUUGCGCCAGAGUUCCCUCCACCCCCACAUGCAUCUCCUGCCCCAGAGUUCCCUCCACCUCCAUAUGCAUCUCCUUCCCCAGAGAUCCCUCCACGUACUACUCAUGCAAUUCCUGACCUAGAGAUCCCUCUACCUACUACUCAUGCAUCUUGUCACCCCGAGAUCUCUUCACACACCCCACAUACAUUUUUUGACCCUGCUCAUCUUUCAUUUACUCCGCCAUCCUUUGAUCUCGGCUAUGAUUUCAGUCAGACCCCUCCUAGGUAG
rnacentral:sRNA from 1 species